rnacentral:rRNA from 1 species
CCUGCGGGAGGCAGCAGUGAGGAAUAUUGGUCAAUGGACGAGAGUCUGAACCAGCCAAGUAGCGUGAAGGAUGACUGCCCUAUGGGUUGUAAACUUCUUUUAUAAGGGAAUAAAGUGAUCCACGUGUGGGUUUUUGUAUGUACCAUAUGAAUAAGGAUCGGCUAACUACGUGCCAGCAGCCGCGGUAAUACGGAGGAUCCGAGCGUUAUCCGGAUUUGUUGGGUUUAAAGGGAGCGUAGAUGGAUUGUUAAGUCAGUUGUGAAAGUUUGCGGCUCAACCGUAAAAUUGCAGUUGAUACUGGCAGCCUUGAGUACAGUUGAGGUAGGCGGAAUUCGUGGUGUAGCGGUGAAAUGCUUAGAUAUCACGAAGAACUCCGAUUGCGAAGGCAGCCCACUAGACUGCAACUGACACUGAUGCUCGAAAGUGUGGGUAUCAAACAGGAUUAGAUACCCUUGUAGUC